CGUCCGGGACCUUUUAAUCUUCCUUAAAAGAAUCAGACAGUCUUAUUUAAAAUAUUAAAUCAUUAAUAAAUUUCAUAUUUUUAAUAAAAUUACAUAAUAUAAAGAAAUGACCGAUUUGAUGAUCAGUCCAAUAAAUCUCUUCCUUCGGCUCUAAUCCGAUUUAAGGUCAUAGGUCCCUAGAAGUGAAGAAGAUAGCCUAAUAAGAGAUUCAUAGGAUUUUUUGGAG
rnacentral:lncRNA from 1 species